UUUGCUAUUACUGUGGACGCGAGGAAAGAACUACUAAAAGAUCAACAUCUCAACGAUGAUAAAACUUCUAUUGAGGAAAAUGGGCCAAAAUCUAUUUUAAACCGUCUCAACGAUGAGAAGUUCGAUCCCAAACGUCCCGAGUUGUUUGGUUAUCAUUACGACGACGAUGAUAAAAAAGACAAGGCAUCAUCAUUUGAGAAGUUCGAUUCCAAACGUCCUGAGUUUUUUGGUUAUCAUUACGACGACAAUGAUAAAAAAGACAAGUCAACGUCAUUUGAGAAGUUCGAUCCCAAACGUCCUGAGUUCCUUCACUAUGGUUACAACGAUGAUGAUAAAAAAGACAAGUCAACGUCAUUUGAGAAGUUCGAUCCCAAACGUCCUGAGUUCCUUCACUAUGGUUACAACGAUGAUGAUAAAAAAGACAAGUCAACGUCAUUUGAGAAGUUCGAUCCUAAACGUCCUGAGUUCUUUCACUAUGGUUACAAUGAUGAUGAUAAAAAAGACAAGUCAACGUCAUUUGAGAAGUUCGAUCCUAAACGUCCUGAGUUCUUUCACUAUGGUUACAAUGAUGAUGAUAAAAAAGACAAGUCAACGUCAUUUGAGAAGUUCGAUCCUAAACGUCCUGAGUUCCUUCACUAUGGUUACAACGAUGAUGAUAAACAAGACAAGUCAACAUCAUUUGAGAAGUUCGAUCCUAAACGUCCUGAGUUCCUUCACUAUAGUUACAACGACGAUGAUAAAAAAGAUAAGUCAACGUCAUUUGAGAAGUUCGAUCCUAAACGUCCUGAGUUCCUUCACUAUGGUUACAACGAUGAUGAUAACACUGACAAAUUAUCAUCUGUUCAAAAUUUUGAGCGUUGGGUUCCUCUUCCAUCAUUUCAUUAUACUUACAGCGACGAUGAUAACACAGAGAAAUCAUCGUCAUUUGAGAAAUUUGAUCCCAAACAUAAGAACUUGCUUCACUAUCACUACAACGACAACAAAGAAAAAUCAUCACCGCUCGAGCAUAAUAAGCCGUCGUCUCUUAUUGAAGAGAUCCCAGGCGGCAACAAUGAUCAUAAGGAGACCAUGUAAAUUAGGCAUCCAGAGGAGCAUAUGGGUUUUAAUGAAAUUGUAUAAUGUUUUAUGUAUUUAAACGUUAUGUCCUCUAUGUAUGGGAGUGCUUACUUAUUAAAGAAAAAUAAAAAUGGCGUCGCCAUAUAUGAUAAUUGAAUAAAAGUAACACUUCAUUUCCUUCCUCUUUUCUCAAGCAAUUUAGUUUUCUUUAUCUAUUGUCUUUGUUCGUAGCUAAACACACAAGGUUGCCAAUUUAGUCGGAUUAUGAUAAAAUAUAUGUAUUAUUAUAUAUAUUUAACUUUAAAAAUAAUAAUUAACGAUAUGUGUAAAGGAGAACAUCAAAAUCCUAGCAACUUUCUCUCUCUUUUUUUUUUCCAUUGCAAUCGUUUUCUUCUUUCUCCAUCAAAAGCCAAGAAUCAAGCAUGUAGGUUUAUAUAUAUAUAUAUAUAAACCUGUAACUUACAUUAUUUUAAUGACAUUGUAGAUUUAUACAUUGAAUAGUAUUACUGAUUUAUUUAGUAGAAUCAAUAGUGUAAUUUUCCUUUGAAUUCUAGAAUAUAAAUAUAUUUUUCUUUUUCCUAGUAAGUGCAUUCUUGUGCUUAUAAUUUUUUUUAGCAUUAAAUAUUUUGUUUUUUAAAAGCCUAUAAAUCCUGAUCUCAAAACAGGUAAUUUUUCGUGUUAAUAUCAUAUUUUUUAAUGAAAAAUCCUUACCAUUUAUCAAAUCUCAUGUAAUUAUUGCCUUUUGGUUUGUGGUUGUGGUUUAUAUGUAAUUUCUUAAGUACUUUGGAUAUGUUCGGACAAAAUUUGUUGUUUUGAUAGCUAUUUAUUAUUUGAAUAAUAUUUAAUGGUCAGUUGUUUUAGUAGUUUUUCAUAAAAUGAUAAAAGUUAAACGUUACAUGAGUUAACUUUUUAAAUAUUAAAUUAUAUAACGAGAUUGAAUUAUUUGAAAGUACAUGAAAUAUACAUAAUAUAAAUGGUUCAAGUAAAACUUUAAUUACAAGUAAAUUAGAAUCUCAAAAUUUAUAAAUUAAAUAAUAAAAAUAAUUAUUUUAUAUAGAUAUAUAUUUCUUUUAAUUAAGAAACUUGAAAAAAUAUAUUAAGUACAAAUUAUAAAUUCAAAUUUAUAAAUUAGAGGUUAUAAAUUCAUGAUAUAUGAACCUUUAUAUUACAUAGUUGUAAACCAAACAAAUUUUAUUCAAAAGCUAUAUAAGUAUAGAAUAUGUUUAUUUUUGAACAAAGUAAAACAGAAUUUAUAAUGAAAAUAAGAUUGAUCAAAUUUAAAUUUAAAGAUUAAUUAGUUUUAAAAUAAUUAUUUUAUAUAUAUGGACCAGUGUAAUUUAAUAUUUUAAAAAUUAAAUAAAUAUUUUUAUGACCAAAUAUAUAAUGUGGAUUAUUUAAAAAAAUAAAUGAAUUUAAAAUAAUUAAGACUAGCUAAACUACAAAUUAGAAGUCACAAGAUACGAUAUAUAUAAUUUAAUAUAUAUAAUUCGAUAUUAUAAAAGGGGAGAAAUUUAUAAGUCUAGCAUUUAUAUAUAUAUAAUAUAAUUUCAAUUGCAUAGGUACAUAAUAAAUUUUUUAACACUAAGAUAAUAAAAUUUUAUAGUUAUUUAUUCAAAGUUUAAAUAAUUUAUUUUGAUUAAAUAUAUUUGAAAUAUUGGAUAAUUAUUUAUCUGUGAAUUUUUUUUAUGUUUGUGUUGAAAAUAGUUUUUUUUUUUAAUUUACACAAUUAAAUAGUUUUUUAUUUUUAAUAAUAUUAAAUAAAUAUUAAAUAAAAAAUAAAUAUUAAAUAAAUAUUAAAUUUUUAAUAAUAAAUAAUAGUUUUUUUGAUAACCAAUUCUAUAGAUAACAAAUCAUUUGCUAAAAGCUCCGCCGAUCAGACCAUCUCACAUCACCGACAACGCCUCUACAGGGGCUUCAUCCACACUAUCAUCAUCACUUAUAGUUAUCAUCCUUUGAAUCAAUAAUGUAAUUUUCCUUUGAGUUCUAGAAUAUAAAUAUAUUUUUCUUUUUCCCAGUAAGUGCAUUCUUGUGCUUAUAAUUUUUUUUAGCAUUAAAUAUUUAGUUUUUUAAAAGCCUAUAAAUCCUGAUAUCGAAAAAGGUAAUUUUUCGUGUUAAUAUCAUAUUUUUUUAAUGAAAAAUCCUUACCAUCGAUCAAAUCUCAUGUAAUUGUUGUCUUUUGGUUUGUGGUUGUGGUUUAUAUGUAAUUUUUUAAGUACUUUGGAUGUGUUCGUCAAGAUUAGUUGUUUUAGCAGCUGUUAACUGUUUGAAUGACAUUUAAUGUUUAGUUGUUUUAGUAGCUUUUCAUAAAAUAGUAAAAGUUAAACUUUAUAUGAGUUAACUUUUUAUAAAUUGCUGGCUUAAUCUCUAUAAGUUAGUUCAAAAGUUAUAUUACCGAACACUAUAAAAAAAUACGUUUAACAUUUUGACCAAUCAAAAUAUUAAAAGCUACUUAAAAAACUAUUACCGAACACGACCUUUGACUUGUAGUUUUUUUGCAAGUGGUUGCUAAGCCUCAACUUGUUGUUACUGAAUUAAGAAUUUAUGUCAAGAGUUUAUUAGAAAUAUGUAGGACUUAUGAAUAUAAUAUUCCUUUAAAUUUUCACUAUUUUGACUUUUUUUAACCUGUUUCAAAGUUACUAGUUAAAUGAUGAUUGUUUAAAUAAAAUUUUAUUUAAAUAUUAUGAUUAAUAAAAUAAUUAACUGUGCCAAUCAGAUAUAAUUUUAUUAAUUUUUUUCAUUUAUAUGAAGAGUGAGAGAUCUAGAGUUCGAGUCCUCUUGAUCACAAAGUUUUCACCAAUUUAGUGAAUUAAAGAGAACUUUAUUCAUAUUGUGUAGCGCAUGGUAUUAUUUAAGCCAUUUUGGCCUUCUACUGGAUAAAAAAAAUUCACUGUAAGCAGCAAAAACUGUAAAUAAUUGCUUAUACCCAUUUCGACUACUCAUCCAACUACCCAUUUACCAACUAUCAGAAUCACAUGGUUGGUAGCCUAUUAUUGAUAACCAAAUAACUAUAUAUCCAUCUGCCACUGUCAAUCAUCACAAAUAACUAAACCAGAAUGAUUUUUAAAUGAUUAUCCAUGGUGUGUCUCCCUAAAGACAAGAAAAGGAAAAGGAAAACAUUGGACCACACCUAUGUAAGGAUGAAGGAAGGGUGUGAGGAGUGUCUCAAGUUCCUUUAACCAUAAUUUUCUUUUAUAUUUAUCUUCUAAAAUAUUGAAGAUUUUUAAUUUUGCUCCUUAAAUUUCAAGUUUUUUGCCGUACCGGCCCCAUUAUUACACGUGUAAAAUCUAAUUAUACUUUAUAUUUAGAUAAACUAUAGUUUUGGCCUUAAACUUUUCGAGUUGUUCCAAUUUCACUCUAAAUUAACUUUUAUUUUGCUGAAUUUUGCAUAUGUUAUUUAAUUGUAUCCAUAGUUUUAAAAUUGGACUUAAUUGAAAGAGACUAAAGAAAAAAUAUGAGAUCCACAUAUUUUCUGUGGGUUAAGGUAAUCCAAUAUUGUUUAACUAGCGAAAAAUGCAUUACUCUGUAUAAGGAUAAGACUUGCUCACACUCAAUAUGUAUGGGUGGUUCUAUAGACGAAACCAAUAAAAAAGAUUGUUUUUAAAAACUCUUACGCUCUAUCCUUUUUGUUUGUAUGAUAAAAAAUGCUUUCAUUUGAAACAAAUCACUUUUUGUGAUUAGUUUGUAAAUGAGUGAGUUCAUUCACUGACAUUGAGUGCAGGUAAGUCUUUCCUUUGUAUAAAGGGAAGAAAAAAAAGACAAAACAAACUUCAAAAUCAUUUAGAUUAUGUGGUAUGCUUCUAUAUUAAAGUGAAUUAUUAUUCAAAUAUGUGAAAAGUGAGAAGUCUGGAGUUCUAAUCCACUCGAUCAUAAAAACUUUCACUAACUUGGAGAAUUAAGGAAAGAAUUACUCUUAUUGUGUAGCCUAUUAAAUUAUUUUUGGCUCGUCUAAUUACUUCAUUAUGGUUACAAUUUGAAAACUUCGGAGGCAAGACCAAAUCCAUCUAAGUGGCCCUAAUUUCUUUCUUUCCUAUUCAAUUAUAAGAAUGUCUUUCAACUUUUAUAUUCACCCUACAAUAUCUUCUUCCCGCACGAGGAUAAAGAACAAAAGGAUAGUGUGAAAUACGUUGAAUUUUUAGAAUCUAAUGGGGUCUUCCCUAAAAAAAUGAUUUUAGAUUCCAUGGCACGCUGAGUGAAUUAUUAUUGGAAACACGAAGUUGUCAAGAUUCCGUGGCUUUGUUUUGCUGUUUUUGUUUUUUCUAAAUAAAUUAGAAUAUUAAUUUAUUUUUACAUGAAAUAAUAAAAACAAAAUGAUUGAAUAUAAAUUAACAAAUAGAGUAAAAGCCUUAACACCUAUAAAAUAAUAAUUGAGGAAAAUUAAUAAAAUUUAGUAAAAAACCGAUCAUAAUUGAAAUUUUGAUAUUUUAGUUGUGUUAGGCAACAGUUUUUUUGAGUAGCUUUUAACAUUUCGACUGGUUAUAACACUAAAUACUAUUUUGUAUAAUCUGAUUUCUGUAAUGACAUUAGCGCCAUUAAUAAACUAAUUGUUUCUUUUGUUACCUAUGGAUUUUAAUAUUGGAACUUUAUAGUAUGUUGCUACUUUACGAGAACAAUUGGAACAACUGGCUGAAGAGAGAACUCUAGAUGGCUUACCUAGGUAUGCGUGCUUUCUUUUAUAUCUUCUCUUAAAUUUGUUUUGAAUUGUAAUUGAACUUUGAAAAACUUUAAUCAAAUUUUCAUGGAUAACCAAUAUUGGAACUUUUUGUAAAUGUCCUUUUCAAGGAAAAUUGACUUGUUAAUAAUACAUCUAAGUUCUUUGAUUGUGAGCCAGAUUUCUCUUCCCCUUUGCAUUUGAGUUGGCCUUUUCUGUUCGGUAGCCAUUAUCAAUCCAAUAAAUCAAAUGUGGCUGGAGUUGUAUUUUAUGUAACAAUCUCUAAGAUUUAAAUGCAGUGCUACUUUUAACUUCUCUUUGAAUACAUUUCAACAGAGUUUCAAAGGCUAAGGUCAAUGAUUAUUCAGAAAAGAUUGAAGCCAUUGCUUCCAGAUUAGCUGCCCCAUUGGUGCGUUGCAUUGGAUACUUUUAAAUUAUUAAUGUGAUUGUGAACUUUAGCAACACUUCUAAAAUUAGUUGCACUAGCAGAUAUUUGAACAUAGUUCGAAGAGUAAGUUUUCUUCUUUUCAUUUCCUCCCUCAAGGGACUAAAAACUGUUGAAAUGCCAUUGCCAUUAUAAUGUGGUAGAGCUUCAAUAACUGUGAUGUAAACAGACUGAAGAUACGGGGUUAUGUUUCUGUAGAAGAAAACAUAAGAGCAAAUCUUGACCGAUUUCACUUUUGUUGAAAAGACUGUACAUAGGAUUUUGAUAUUACUGUCCACAAAUUAAUUCUUUUUUUUUUUAAUUAUCUCUUGAAUGAACUGUUCUUCUUCCCUCUCAGCUAAUAUGUUGACUUCAUGGAUUGCAAUACAUUCUCCUUGGUUUAAUUGCUUUUGUUGCCUGUUCUACUUCUUCUAACUGUUCCCCCCUUUGGUUACAGUGACUAAGCGUACUGAUUACAACUUAAAAGCAUACUAUAUGUUGUUUGUGUCAUCUAACCAUGCAUGCAAUCUAUGAUGUUGCCUCAAUUUGUUUGUCCUAUUAAUUGUCAGUAUUGGCAGUGGUUGAUGUUGUAACAUCUAACCAUUUUUUAUGCGGCUAAUUCUCAGCCUCAGAUUCGGUAUCUGAAGAGCCUUUUGCUGAGAGUUCAAUGAGCGAAAGUCCUAAAGCAGAUGGAGAAACUCAGUUCCCUUCUUCUCCUGGCUUGAGAAGAAGACUUGUGUAAUGAAUCUCUAGUUGUUAGGAUUUAUGUGAUUCAUGCAAUUUCCCUUUUGGUGUUCAUUUCUUUUUCCUCCUUCUGUUUCUAUAUUUAUUUCAUUAUGAUUUUUGUUGUUCUUUGAACAGGGCAGCCCCAAAUUUUGAUGAUAGAACUCAUGAAAUCACUCAGGUUGAUACAUCAGCCCCUGUCAAACUGGAUGCUGCAGCAAAAACACACAUUGAAAAGCACAGGUACUUUUACUGUUUGAUUGGGGUACACCCAAUCAUGAUGUGAUAAUUUCAAAGAUUACAUAGUAAUCCACUCUUAGAUCUGUAAUCUAAGUUUUUCAAGUAAAAAUGUUGCAUUUAAUUCUACAUAAAACCCAGUGGAGUUCCACAUAAACUCAUACAGCCAUUGUUUGCUAAAGAUGCAUUGACUACAGACCAAGGAUGGUCCUCUUGAGGGCAUUGGGUGAUUAUUCAUGAUUCUAUUUGUAGAGGUGUGCAUCAGUGGAUUCGGUUUGACCGAAUUAACCAGUAAUCAAAAUAGGGGAAACUAAACCAAAUUGAAUUACAUAUAUGAAUCAAACAUUUUGGUUCAGUUUGGUUGGCUCCAUACUGAAUCCUUUUGUUCUUGUGUGUGUGUGUGUGUGUGUGUGUGUUGUUUGGUUUUUUUGGUUAAAAUGAUCAUCUGAAGACCGAAACAUGGUUAACAUGUUCAUCUGAUGACUGAAACAUGGUUAACAUGGUUGGCUCCAUACCAUGGUCAUCUGAUGACCGAACCAAAUAAGAGGCCCAAAUCUUUGCUAAUCGAAUCAAACCACAUAUUUCGGUUUGGUUAGUUGGUUAUUACCAACUAAUGCACACCCUUACUCCCCUAGCUAUUUUGGCAUUUCAAUGGGAUAAUGUGUACACCAUAAGCAAGAUAGUAGUGGAAUUUUGGUGUAACAUGGUGCCCUGCUUGGCAUCAGCCUAGUAUUGUUCAGAGAGCGGGACAGAACAAGUAUUUGAGCAAGAGGGGAACUGGGAUUGGAGUGGAAGGUAAGUCAGACACCAAAUUGAUCUUUAAUAUUUAUUAUGUUUCUUUCCCUACCGAGACGAAAGCCAAAGGUGAGUCUCGUAGGUGGACGUAUUGAACCGAAAAAAGAUCUCACUCCCCUGUCUCAACUCGCUUUCCAGGGAUAAGGUGAAAAUGAAAGGUUCAUUGCAAAUUGGAGUUUAUUGCAACAGGAUUUACAUAAAUAACAAUGCUUCAAUACAUUUAAAGUUUCUUAGUCCUCCUUCUUGACUGUUGCUUAUAGUACUAUAUUUAUAACGGUACAAUGUAGUUUCCUGAAAGUAAUAUGAUUAAUGAGUAAAAUUUUCAUGAUAUAGGCAGAGAUAUUCAAAAACAUAAUUUGUUCUGCAUAUUUUCUUGCUCCAAGUUCCAAAGAUUGAAUCUAGGACUACCUAGUUGCUUCAAAGAUCAUCAACUUCUGAUUAAACUUUUGUAUCCUAUUGCAGAAAGCUUCAAGAAGACCUGACAGAUGAAAUGGUUGGGUUGGCACAACAACUAAAAGAGAGUAGUCUCUUGAUGAGCCAGUCCUUGCAAAAUACUGAAAAGGUAAUGAUUUUUGGAACCAAAUGUAUUACCUUCUGAGGAGAUGUGCAAUUGUAGCUUUGGUGAGUGAUUCUGCAUGUUCUGGGGAGGCAGCAUUAGAGGAUCGCGUAAUCCAUUAUUCUUUGUGUACAAGUUAGCUAAUGAGUAUCUCUAACAUGGUAAUGAUUUAGAAACUACUAGGAUUGUGAAGAAGUGUCAUUUUCCUUCUGCCAUUAAUUGAUUGAUGUGAAGCGUCUGAGUUCUAUCUUAAAAUUGCUCAGAUUUGUAAAUGCUGUGAAGGAGAGGUUGGGAGUGGCAAUCAGAGAGAUAUCUAUAGCAGCAUUUUUCUGAAUUUAAUCUGUGGGAAUUGAUGUUCUAUUGAGGUCUUGUAUUUUGACAUACUAAUCACUCUAUUAAGCGAUGAAAGUUGCUAGGAUAUGAAAUUCUUCUUGAUUAAUGAUGAAUUGAAGAACAACUACUGAACCAUUUCUGUACUCAUGCAGUAAUCGAUAAGCUGCUAAUUGUGUUAAUUGACUUGGAAUGGGCCCUUAAGGAAUUAACAAGUACAGAUCUAUAAAAUUGUAAAAGCCAUAAGAGGACAGGCUUUUAUAAGAAAAAUCUACCCUGUAAUUUUUUUUUCCCUACCAAUGAUUGGAUGGUGGACUCACCGACAAAUGAGGUAAGGGAAAUUGAGAAGCAACUUUCUACUUCAACCUUUUUUCUUCUUGAUAUGGUAAACAACUUGCCUUGAGCUCAUAAUUUGUUUGUAUUUUUCAAUUUUCUUUGAAAUAAUGGCAGUAGCAACUAAAACUUCUAGUUGAUGAGUGUAUGCAUCAUGAAUUUCUACAUUACCACUUAUCAUGUGGAAAUUCAGAUUUCUGUUCAUUUACGUAUUAUAGAUACUUGAAUUUAAUACUUAUCAAAAUGUGAUUGCAAAGAUCAUGUAUAUCGAUCUGGGACUAUUUUUUAAACUGAUGCUCUUCUUGUACAUGUCAGAAAGUUUUUGCAUUCAAUGGCUGUAAAAAAAGAAAUACAUAAAUUUAUUAGAUGAAGCUAAAACAACAUAUAUGCAAGUUUUUAUUUCUAGUCUCAAAACCUAAAUGUUUGUUUUGGUGCAGAUACUCGAUUCUACAGAGAACGCUAUUGAGCAAAGCUUGGCAGGCACUGGCCGUGCCAAUGUCCGAGCCUUGGAGAUAUACUCGAAAAGUUCUAAAACUACAUGCUUCACUUGGCUUCUGAUUUUUCUAAUGACAUGUGUCUUCAUCAUGGUUGUACUCCUAAUUCGCGUCACUUAGAAGUUUCUUCAAGGUAAGCAAGUUUCGACAUGGUAAUGCUGCUGUCUUGCAAUGCGAGUCAAGUGUUUAACCAUUUGUUCAAAAUCAACUGGUUUUUUAUGAAAGUGGUGCCUAAUGAUUUAAUUUUUCUACCAGAAAUCAUUUUGUGACGAUACGGAGAUUAAUGACAAAUAAUAUGUAAUAUUUUCUUAUUCUGUGUUGUUUGAGGUUAUGUUGGGAUUUAUAUUUUAAUCGACGGACAACUGAUUCUGAAAUAAGUUUAACACUCAUAUUAUGAUUGUAUUUUUUUUUCUUUUUUCUUUUUUAAUAUAAUGUCUUUUAUUUUAUUUUGAAUUAAAAUAAAUAACUAGAAAACAUUACUAAACAAAAAUUAAUUAAUUAUUUUUAUUUAUAUACCAUAUUAAAAAAAAUGAUAGAUUCAUCUGAGAAAAUAAAAAGAAUAAUUUAGCUACCAACAACAAGAAUUUACUCUAGGGUGCUUGUUUUUUAAGAGAGGACCCAUAAGGAUAUUAAAGUGUAAAUAAUUAAAAUAUCAAUAAAAGUGGCAAAGUAUUUACUCUAGGGUCCUUGUUUUUUAAGGUAAUCAGUGGUAUUAUUAUUCUUGAAAAAAAAUAAAAAAAUAAAAACCUGGUAUUAUUAAAUGUAUAUUAUUGAAAAGAAAAAUAAAAACUUUUAUCAAUAAUGAGAAAAUUAUCUACCAAUGUAUGAGGAGUGGCACUCACCAACCCCAAUUCCUACCUACUCAUCCAUAGAAUUGGUAUUAUUGUUACUCUUAUCAUGCCCAAUCAUCCAUGCAAAAUUAUUACUUUUACACAUGCAUAAAUGCAAGAUUUUAUAAUUUAAAAAAAUGUUGAUCACUCAAUAUUUUUUUAUUAAUCAAAAGGCUCAAUUGAUCGAAUAACAUAAUGAUUAAGGGAUAAUUUUUCCAUUGACUUAUCGAAUUAUUAAAAACUAGUGCGAUCGGAAAAAUUCAAACUUAACAAUCAUAUUUUUUAUAUUAGUAAAAAGAUCAACCAAAUAAUAUAUGGUUAGCCUAAAGAGGUUUUUUUUUUUUUUUUUUUUUUUGCCCCUUUUAAAGAUAUUGGGCAGAAAAUAAUAAUCAGCGGAGAUUAUAGCAUUAUUUCAUGUAAUUAAUUAAUAUAGUAUAUAAAUAAAUAAAUAAAUAUUAAUUAAAUGUUUAUAAUAAUAUUUACUAGUUAUUUAUUGUUUUUAGAUAAUUAUAUAUGAUAAUGAUAACAUAAAAAUAGUAAUUGGAAAAUAAAAUUAUUAAUGAUUUAUUAUUGAGGUGAAUAUAGCCCUGGGGAAUUGAUUAAAAAAAAAAAGGAGUUGAAAAAGUAGUUAAUGAAGAUUUAACACAUAUAAAUUAAACGUAGAAUAAAUUUGCAUGAAACAAAUAAGCUAAAUAUCCCUCUAAUAAGGAAUUGAUAGCUGAUAAAGCUUACAUAAGUUUCAAUUUACUAUUGAUCUCAUCAACUGAAUUUAGGGCUUUUUCUUAUCAAUGUAUUAUAUUUUGACUAUAUUAAUUUUAUAAAAAAAUAUAUUAAUAAAUUAUUUUUUGAAAUUAAUAUUUUAGGAUAAUCUUAUUUAUAAAAAUUUUAAAUUAAAAUAAAUAAGUAGAAAAUAUUACUACACAAAAAUUAAAUAAUUAUUUUUAUUUAUAAACUAUCAUAAACAACUAUCAUAAACAAUUAAAUAAUUAAAUAAUGAUUACUAUUAUCAACUAUCAUAAACAACUAAAUCAACCAUUUUAUUUUUCAAAUAAUCGAUUUUUAAAUAAAAACAUGAAUAUGUAUAGUUGUGAGAUCUAUUUAGAUUCAAAUGAGUUUAAAAUUUAAAAAAAAAAAUUCAAAUGAUGAAUUAGCCUAAAUUAAAAUUUUUUUAAUGCAUUUAGAGCAAUAAAAAAUUAUAGAGUAUAUAUAUAUAUAUAUAUAUAUAUAUAUAUAUAUACAUGCGCACGCGCAUAAUUUUGAAAAGAGGCAUGACCAAAUCCAUCUAGGUGGCCUUAAUAUUUUUUUUCUAUUCAAUUAUAAGAAUAUCUCUCAAUUUUUAUAUUUAUCCUACACAUAUCUUAUCCUACACGAAAAAAAAAACGAGGAUAAUGUAAGAUAUGAAUUAUAAGAAUGUCACUCAACUUUUAUAUUGACCCAACACAUAUCUUGGUUCAUGUGGAGGGAAAAAAAAGAUAAUAUAAGAUAAGUAAAGAAUUAUUAGAAUCUAAUAGGGUCUUUUCUGAUAUUAAAAUAAAUAAAAAAACUUUGUGGGACGCUCCUAUAUUAAAGUGAAUUAUUAUUGGAAAUUCAAGAGAAAUUUAAUUAUUUGCACUGAUGGCUUUGAUUUUUUUUUUUUUCUUAACAAAAUUAACAAUUCUAUUCCAUGUAAUUCAACAAUACAUAUGAAAAAUACUUGUAAUGUUAAUAAUUGUACAUUAAAAUCAGUUGCACAUUGUUAAGCUUUAACUCAUAUUAUAAUUAUUGAAAUUAUUGAGAGAGAGAAAAUAGGAAAAAAAAGAUUGAUUAAUUUAUAUUAUAAAAUAAAAAUACUAUGAACUUUGCAUAUGGUUGGAAUUGCAUUUUAUUUUAAAUUUUAACUAUAAGGUGCAAUUAAUUAUUUUAGAGUAUAAUAACAUUUUGAAUUUUACGUAUUGUUGCAAUUACACCUUAUUUUUUCCCUAAAUUUUAAUUACAAAGCGUCAGUAAUUUCAAAAUGCUGUUACAUGAUAAUUGUUAAAAGGGUUAAAUAUUUUCGGUUCCCUAAAUUAUGGCCAAAAUAACACCUAGGAUCCUCAACGUUUGAGUAAUUAUCUUGAAUGACCUAAAUAAUGUUGUCGUUAUACUACGAGGCCCUGCCAUCCAAAUUCUUACCUUUUUCCAUUUACAUGGAUUGAAAAGCAAACAUUAAGUGGGGAGUUAAAUGUUUUGGGGUCCCUAAAUUAUGACCAAAUCAACACUUAAGUCCCUCUACGUUCGAGUAAUUAUUCGUUUUUCAGUUCAUAUAAACGCAAAAAAAGUAGAAAUUUAGAUGGAAAUUCCAUUCGACGUGCCUAUCUAAGAUUUUUCCUCUUUGUGCUUUUUCUCAUAUUUGCGGAUGCGCUUUACACCCUUUGUAGCUAAGAAUUUUUCGUAUUUUGUAAUAAACAAGAAAUAACAAAAAAAAAAAAAAAAAAUGAGUUGAGAAAUUUUCUUUUUACAAAAAUGCCCUUAUAUUGCUAAAGGUUUCUUUGACAUUGUGUGGCUAUAUAUAGCAGGCACUUCACCAUUAAAAAACCAAACAUUUCUUCUCCCCUUUACAACUAAAGAGAACCAUGAAGAGCUUCUCUAUUUUCUUUGUUCUUCUCCCUCUUCUCUUGGUGAGUGAACCAUUUCUUCAUACAUUAUUCUACUUAGCACCAACCCUAAAAUUCGAUUGAAAUUAAUGGCAAAGCUAUAUGUUGCAGUCUUUUUUUUUUUUUUUUUUUUUUAUUAAAGAAAUUAAUGCAGAUAUUAUUUUUUAUUAAUUAAAUGGCUAGCUUUGUUCCUAAUAUUAUUUAUACUUUCAGCGGAACUACAUAUAAUUUUUAGUGUGACAUUUUUUUCUCUCUAAUUUUUUCGUCUUAUUUCAAGAACAUGCUUUUUUUGAUUCUUUUAGUAGUUUGGCAAUAUAUAUGGACUCAAGCUCUAAUCUUUGUUCUUUUUUUCUUUAAUAGUUUGGUAUUACUGUGGACGCGAGGAAAGAACUACUAAAAGAUCAACAUCUCAACGAUGAUAAAACUUCUAUCGAGGAAAAUGGGCCAAAAUCUAUUUUAAACCAUCUCAACGAUGAGAAGUUCGAUCCCAAACGUCCCGAGUUGUUUGGUUAUCAUUACGACGACGAUGAUAAAAAAGACAAGGCAUCAUCAUUUGAGAAGUUCGAUUCCAAACGUCCUGAGUUUUUUGGUUAUCAUUACGACGACAAUGAUAAAAAAGACAAGUCAACGUCAUUUGAGAAGUUCGAUCCUAAACGUCCUGAGUUCCUUCACUAUGGUUACAACGAUGAUGAUAACACUGACAAAUUAUCAUCUGUUCAAAAUUUUGAGCGUUGGGUUCCUCUUCCAUCAUUUCAUUAUACUUACAGCGACGAUGAUAACACAGAGAAAUCAUCGUCAUUUGAGAAAUUUGAUCCCAAACAUAAGAACUUGCUUCACUAUCACUACAACGACAACAAAGAAAAAUCAUCACCGCUCGAGCAUAAUAAGCCGUCGUCUCUCUCUGAUGAGAUCUCAGGUGGCAACAAUGAUCAUAAGGAGACCAUGUAAAUUAGGCCUCCAGAGGAGCAUAUGGGUUUUAAUGAAAUUGUAUAAUGUUCUAUGUAUUUAAACGUUAUGUCCUCUAUGUAUGGGAGUGCUUACUUAUUAAAGAAAAAUAAAAAUGGCGUCGCCAUAUAUGAUAAUUGAAUAAAAGUAACACUUCAUUUCCUUCCUCUUUUCUCAAGCAAUUUAGUUUUCUUUAUCUAUUGUCUUUGUUCGUAGCUAAACACACAAGGUUGCCAAUUUAGUCGGAUUAUGAUAAAAUAUAUGUAUUAUUAUUUGAUGAGAAAUUUUUACUUAAUAUUUAAUAUUUAAUUUUAUA
rnacentral:lncRNA from 1 species